rnacentral:misc_RNA from 1 species
GUGAAUCUUCAAAAGUCGGCUUGUCGGAUUGUGCUGGUGGAGACACAUGUGCACGUCUUGCGAGUCGCAAACCCACACACCUGUGCAUCUAUGACUCUGAGUGCCGCUUUGCAUGGCCUUGACCGGCCUGGCGCUCGAGUACUUUCACACACUCUCGAAUGUAAUGGAAUGUCUUGUUGUGCGUAACGUACAAACUAAAA